rnacentral:ncRNA from 1 species
CUCUUAUCCAGAGAGGUGGAGGGACCGGCCCUUUGAAACCUCGGCAACCCUGGAAAAAGCGUCGGCGUGCAACGUUUAGUGAACGAGGCAUGCGCAGCUUGAUCAUUAGGGUGCCAAAUCCGGCAGCGCGACUGGAAGAUGAGAG